UUCAUGAGAAGUCACUCACUGUCAUGAGGGCAGCACCAAGAGGAAACAGCUAAACCAUUCAUGAGAAAUCCGCCACCAUGGUCCAGUCACCUCCUACUAGGUUUCACCUUCAAUACUGGGGAUUAAAAUUCAACAUAAGAUUUGGCAGGGACACAUAUUUAAACUAUAUCAGGGAGGCUGAGAAGUCCCACGAUAGUCUGUCUGCAAGCUGGAGAACCAGGAAAGCCCUUAGCAUGACUCAGUCCAAGUCCAAAGACCUCUGAACCAAGGAAGCCAAUGGUGUAAUUCUCAGUCUGAGCUCAAGGCCUGAGAGCCUGGGGGCUGUUGGUGUGAGUCACAAAGGUCAAAGCCUGAAGAAUCUGGAGUUAUUCCAUCCCAAGGUAGAAGAGGGGUGACCUGGCUCUGGGAGAGAGUGCCCAAAUUCAUCCUUCCUCUGCCAUUUUGUUCCAUUUGGCCCCAGCCUGCUAGAUGGCCCUUGCCUGCAUGGAGGGUAGAUCUUCUCCACUCAGUCCACUGACUCACAUGCCAAUCUCCAGAAACACCCCCACAGUCACACCUGGGGCAGUCCAAUCGUCUGAAUCACAAGCAAAAACACUUAGUUUUUUGCUAUCAGCAGAAGAGGGCUGGGCUCAGUGCCUACUGAAGCACUGAGAAUAAACAAUGCUAUACCAGGUAGUAUCCCUUAAUUUGGUCAAGUUGACAACCCCAAAUCAACCCACAAUAAAUAUUUGGUUUUUGUCCCCAGUUCCUGGCACAGAGCUCCUUAAACCCUUGGAAUUUAUUAUCUUAUAUAUGCUAACUCUUAGAGUUGGGGAGGACCCUAGAUAGCUUCAAUAUGGUGGCUGGUCACCAGAAAAACCAACCGUGUAACUGGAGGUUGGAACUUUUAGCUUUGUCCCCUAACUUCCAAGAAAGGGAGAGGGGCCAGAGAUUGAGUUCAGUCAUCGAUGGCCAAUGAUUUAAUCAAUCACGUCUACAUAAUGAAACCUUUACAAAGACCCCUAAAUGAUGGUGUGUGGGGAGCUUAGAGUUGAUGAACAUAUGGAGGAGCUGGGAAGGUUGCACCCAAAGAGGACGGGGAAGCCCCCUCAUCCCCGUACCUUGCCCUAUGCAUCUCUCCAUCUGGCUGUUCCUGAGUUGUAGUCUUUAAAUUAAACUGGUAAUUGUAGGUAAAGCACUUUCCUGAGUUCUAGGAGUCAUUCUAGCAAAUUAUUGAACCUAAGGAGGGGCUCAGGGAAACCUCUGAAUUUGUAGUCAGCCAGGCAGAAGUAUGGGCAGCCUGGGCAUCCCAUUUGUAGCUGGUGUCUGAAGUGGGGCAGAAUUGCAGGACUGAGCCCUUAACUUGUGAGGUCUCUGCUAACUCUGGGUGUUAGUGUCAGGAUUGAAUUGGAUUGUUGGACAAGCAGCUGGUGUUAGAGAAUUACAGAACUGGCAUGGAAAAAUCACACAUAUUUGGUGUCAGGAAAAACCAUACGCAUAUUAUAUUACAUUCACCCAUUUUUCUGUGAAAUCCAAGUAUUUCUGUUGGAAUUGCUUUCGCCAAGAAGUGUGUAAGGAACUAUGAGUCCCUGUGAGGCAGAGCCUGAAGCAGUGUGUAGUUCCAUCUUGCUUCCAUCUGCCAUGGUAACUGGCAAUGUUCUAAACAGAGGCUGUUCCUUCAGCCUGGGCCCCAGAGUGAACACCAUGCAGAACAGAGAUGUGGAUGGAUCAUGAGCAAGAAACAAACCUUGUUGUCAAGCAUGUGGCUACCUGCAGAAGAAGCUGACAUCCUGCGCUUCCACACACACUCCUGCACAGAACUUGAAGGUGAACGAGGGGAGACUCAGCUGGGAGGAGGUUCUCCUUUGCCCAUUAUUCUUCCUGGCCACAUCUAAAGUGGAUAUUGGUGAGUAUGCACUCCUUGGAGGCAAGCAACUUUUGCAGUCAACUUCUGGUUUGUUCAGGUUUGAGGUCCUGAUAGUUGUAUAAUGCUCUAUCUUGCAAAAUUUUAUUUUAUUUUAUAUUUUGGUCAGGUCUGUGAUAUUGUGGGUCAUGUCGCAGAAACUAUAUGGGCUUCUGGUUUAUUUUCUCCUAGGAAGUUUCAUUAAGUAACCACACUCUAAGUUCUUUCCUAGAUGUAACUCUCAAAUCUGUCUUCUUCUUCUUCCUCUUCUUCUUCUUC
rnacentral:lncRNA from 1 species